rnacentral:rRNA from 1 species
AAAAGCUCCGGCAGUAUAGGAUGGUCCCGCGUCUGAUUAGCUGGUUGGCGGGGUAACGGCCCACCAAGGCGACGAUCAGUAGCCGGCUUGAGAGAGUGGACGGCCACAUUGGGACUGAGACACGGCCCAAACUCCUACGGGAGGCAGCAGUGGGGAAUAUUGCACAAUGGGGGAAACCCUGAUGCAGCGACGCCGCGUGAGUGAAGAAGUAUUUCGGUAUGUAAAGCUCUAUCAGCAGGGAAGAAAAAAGACGGUACCUGACUAAGAAGCCCCGGCUAACUACGUGCCAGCAGCCGCGGUAAUACGUAGGGGGCAAGCGUUAUCCGGAAUUACUGGGUGUAAAGGGUGCGUAGGUGGCAUGGUAAGUCAGAAGUGAAAGCCCGGGGCUUAACCCCGGGACUGCUUUUGAAACUGUCAUGCUGGAGUGCAGGAGAGGUAAGCGGAAUUCCUAGUGUAGCGGUGAAAUGCGUAGAUAUUAGGAGGAACACCAGUGGCGAAGGCGGCUUACUGGACUGUCACUGACACUGAUGCACGAAAGCGUGGGGAGCAAACAGGAUUAGAUACCCUGGUAGUCCACGCCGUAAAC